rnacentral:rRNA from 1 species
GUAACACGUGGGCAACCUGCCUUACAGAGGGGGAUAGCCUUCCGAAAGGAAGAUUAAUACCGCAUAUUAUGAUUUUUCUGCAUGGGAAAGUCAUGAAAGGAGCAAUCCGCUGUAAGAUGGGCCCGCGGCGCAUUAGCUAGUUGGUGAGGUAAGGGCUCACCAAGGCGACGAUGCGUAGCCGACCUGAGAGGGUGAUCGGCCACAUUGGGACUGAGACACGGCCCAGACUCCUACGGGAGGCAGCAUG